rnacentral:lncRNA from 1 species
CACAUUUUUUAAUUGACUGGAAUUUCAAGUUGAUUCAGCCAUCGUCAGAUUUCAUUGAGAACUGGCAUCUACUGCAGGAGUUCAACCAGACGCUGAACAGAACAGCAGUUGACUAACCUGUGAUACUGUUAUCAGAUGAAGACCCCUAGGAAGUCUACAGAUUAGAAUGGAAGGAAGAAUCUGGAUUACAGCUUGGAUCAGAGAAGAAGAGUCUUGGUUUUUAUAUAAUUAAGAGGCAAGAAGUAUGGCAAGCAUGGCAAGGAACUCUUAUUUCCAGUUUAAAGGUAAUACUUGUUCACAGAGAAAAAUGAAAAUAUGAAACAUUGAAAAACAGAAAUAACUCAUCCAAAGACAACUAUUGUUACAUUUUUUGUUUGCUAUACAGCUUAAAUAUACAUAAAUUAUGAACAUAUGUAUAAUUUCUUAUAGCCAAGGGACCCUUGAAUUAUCAGUAUAGUCUACCUGGAUCUCAGUUGUUGCCUUGAAAAUUUUCCUAAAUAUUGAGUCUGCUCUUUUGCUCUCUUUUUUUUUUUUUUGAAAUGAAGUUUUGCUCUUGUUGCCCAGGCUGGAGUGCAGUGGCACAAUCUCAGCUCACUGCAACCUCUGCCUCCUGGGUUCAAGCGAUUCUCAUGCCUCAGCUUCCUAAGUAGCUGGGAUUACAGGCGUGUGCCACCAC